UAUAUUUUUUUUUUUAAAUUUUUUUUUUUGUGGUUUGGUUUUUUUAAAGAAAAAAGAUUUUUAUUUUUAUUUGUUGAGUUGUUCCCAUCGGGUCCUCCUCCUGGUGCCAGACUGACCCGCAGGGGCCGGGCUCGGGUCCCCACGGAGCCCCCAUUGUCCCCUCCGUGGGCAGAGCCACCGGACACAGCGAUGGUGCCACCGGCUCCGUGGGCACGGACUCCUUCCCAGCCCGGCCACAGGACGUCACGGGGCAGGACCUGCCAGCCCUGGGCACCCCCUGCCCCGGGCACGGGGGGCCUGGACAGACACAGCCCCCUCUGAGCUCACUGUCCCCUCUGCUGGUGUCACCGUGGGUGUCACCGGGGUGGCUCCGUGAGCAGCAAAGGAAACUGGAUGCAGCACUGGGGACAGCUGGCAUGGGGACACUGGGAUGGCCGGCAUGGAGAGCACUGGGAAUGGUCAGCUGAGUCAGGGAGCACCGGGAUGGGCGGCGUGGAGAGCACCGGGAUGUCCAGCACGGAGAGCACCGGGACGUUCCCCAUGGAGAGCACCGGGAUGUCCAGCAUGGAGAGCACUGGGAUGGCCAGCACACCGAGCACUGGGAUGUCCAGCACGGAGAGCACUGGGAUGACCGGCACACCGAGCACUGGGAUGGCCGGCACUGGGAGAGCAGAGAGUGACCAGCUCGGAGAGCACCAGGCAUGGGGAGCAGCAGGAAUGGCCAGUACCAGGAGCACUGAGUGGCCACCGGCAUGGAGAGCACUGGGCAGGGCUGGUGCUGAAGAUGAAUGGCACUGGGGACACGGGGAAUGGCCGGCUGGCACUGGGAGCACUGGGAAGGGCUGGCACUGCCAGUGGAUGGCACGGGGAGCACUG
rnacentral:lncRNA from 12 species